rnacentral:rRNA from 1 species
GGACUACAGGGGUAUCUAAUCCUGUUCGCUCCCCACGCUUUCGUGCCUCAGUGUCAGUAACAGUCCAGGAAGUCGCCUUCGCCACUGAUGUUCCUUCCGAUAUCUACGCAUUUCACCGCUACACCGGAAAUUCCACUUCCCUCUCCUGUACUCUAGUCCCUCAGUCUCAAACGCAAUUCCUAGGUUAAGCCUAGGGAUUUCACAUCUGACUUAAAGAACCACCUACGCACCCUUUACGCCCAGUAAUUCCGAUUAACGCUCGCACCCUCUGUAUUACCGCGGCUGCUGGCAC